GGGACACGACCCCUCAGCAAGGCCUCUGGGAUUUGACGUGGUCAGGAUGAGGCUGGCCAGACUCUGGCUGCUGAGAAUCCGCCUCCACCUGGCACCCGGUCUGCUGGGUCCAUGAUAGGAGAACAAGGGGCCGCCUGGGCUCUGCAGGGGGCACUCAUCCCCACGGGGCCCCUCAGUAAACUUCAGGUCUGUCUUUCACCUGAGGAAUGAACGAGGGAAUCAGGAGUCCUGGGUCUGUGGGGCCAGGUCUGCGAGUGCAGGAACCUGUGACCUUGGACAAGUCACUGAAGCGCUGGGUCUCAUGGUUCUGCUCUCAAAGUGGGUCAAAAUCUCCUGCCUCACAGGGCUGCUGUGGGACCAAAUGUGGAAGUGGGCACGAGAUGAUGCGCCUUCUUGACUGCCUGAACAGGGCAGGGCUAGCGCCUGGGGACGGGCGUCUGUGCGGGGACACAGUUCCCUCGCUGGAGCAGGAAGAGGUUCCAAGAAGCUUCUGAACCAAGCCCAGGGGAUGAUGCUUAGAGCUCAUGGACCACCUGGGAAGCCAGGGGGAUCUGCCCUGGGCUUGAGGUAGCCCCCAGCACACUUAUCCAGGUUCACAUCCUGAGAGGAAGGAGGGCAUCUCCUCAGAACUCCAGGCCAGCAUCCAAGGACGUGUCACUUGCCUUUAACAUGUCCCUGUGGCCAGGCCAGCCUCCCACCUGGAACCGAGUUGCACGUGUGCUAAGUCACUUCAUUCACGUCUGACUCUCUGUGGCCCCAUGGACUGCAUUCUGCGAGGCUCCUCUGUCCGUGGGCUUCUCCAGGCAAGAAUACUGGAGUGGGUUGCCAUGUCCUCCUCCAGGGGAUCUUCCUGACCCAGGGGUCAGUCCCCAGCCUCUUACAUCUCCCACACUGGCAGACAGGUUCUUUACCACUAGCGCCACGUGGGAAGCCGGAACUCGGGGUGAGAUUGGUCCUACUCAGAUCACAUGCCUGAGCCUCCAGGAUGGGCCAGCCAGGGAAGUGUUCCUAGGAGGAGGGGGCACAGCCUGUCCUGCAGACUCAUCCUGCCUGCAGGGAAGCGCUACACCGAGGGACACGCCGGGGCACGUCCCUGGGACUAGGCUGAGUCUCUGGGAGGCCUGGCCCCACAGGAGUGAGCCUGGCGUUUCAGCAGUGGCCUCCACAUAACAGAAAACUGGUUCAGUGCCCACGCACCCACACCAGCCCCAGGAAAGCUGGAGAUGCGUUGCACUGGGUCCUCAGCUCUUGGGCCUGCAGAUGGCAGGGGUAUGGGACAGGCUGAAGCUGGAGCUGUGGCUGAGCCCCAGGGAUGGGGCUCUGGACCGAGC
ensembl:lncRNA